rnacentral:lncRNA from 1 species
AUUGUUCUGGAUACUGUCAUACUGCUGGUUUAUGACUGUGGCAACAAAGAAAACAUUGAAAAAUCAUGUCCUGGCACUGGGUAGAUACUAAGAACACAUGGAGCUCCUUGAAAUUACAGGUUCUGAAAACCUCCUCAACCAUCGUCUUAAGGAGAGCACAGGGAUUCUCCUUGUCUCCAAAGCUGCCCAGACAAGUCUGCAACAGAGCUCAGCAAAGAUCAAUAACCAGCCUGAAAAAAGGAUGUGGGUCAUCUAUCUCUUUCUUCAUUUGUAAAUUUCCAUAUUGUCUCAAUUUGUUUAAAAUAAAAAAAUGAGUUCUAACGCUCAUAGUCUGC